rnacentral:rRNA from 1 species
AUGGACGGCGCGGCAAGGGCCACCUUGUUGGUGUUGUUCUUGCCGUUCCUCAUUCUCACUGUUGCUCAAAAUGUUACCCAGAGUAGAGCGGGUAUACUCGAUGUCGGAGUGAUCCUCCAUCUGAAGUCUUUGGUGGGCAAAAUGGCACGUACCAGCAUGUUGAUGGCUAUGGAAGAUUUCUAUGCAGUCCACAGGAAUUAUACAACAAAGCUAGUUCUCCACAUCAGGGAUUCCAACGGAGACAAUAUGCGAGCUGCAUCACAAGCUGUUGACCUGCUGCAAAAUUACUAUGUACGGGCCAUCAUUGGUCCACAAAAAUCUUCAGAGGCUACUUUUGUGUCUGAUAUUGGGAACAACAGUCAAGUCCCAGUUAUCUCCUUCACAGCAACGAAUCCCACCCUUUCAUCUGCCGAUGUGCCAUAUUUUUUUGCGUGCAACUCUAAGUGA